rnacentral:rRNA from 1 species
CACGUAGGGGGCGAGCGUUGUCCGGAUUUAUUGGGCGUAAAGAGCGUGUAGGCGGCCAGGUAGGUCUGGUGUGAAAACUCGAGGCUUAACCUCGAGAUGUCAUCGGAAACCAUCUGGCUAGAGUCCGGAAGAGGAGAGUGGAAUUCCUGGUGUAGCGGUGAAAUGCGCAGAUAUCAGGAAGAACACCAAUGGCGAAGGCAGCUCUCUGGGACGGUACUGACGCUGAGAGACGAAAGCUAGGGGAGCGAAUGGG